rnacentral:rRNA from 2 species
AUGCAGUCGACGAGCUCUCCCAAAUUGAUUUUAUGCUUGCAUAAAUGAUUUUUGGAUCCCUGAGCGAGUGGCGAACUGGUGAGUAACACGUGGGUAACCUGCCCCGAAGCGGGGGAUAACAUUUGGAAACAAGUGCUAAUACCGCAUAAUUAGUUGGAACCGCAUGGUUCCAACUUGAAAGAUGGCUCUGCUAUCACUUUGGGAUGGACCCGCGCCGUAUUAGUUAGUUGGUGAGAUAAAAGCCCACCAAGACGAUGAUACGUAGCCGACCUGAGAGGGUAAUCGGCCACAUUGGGACUGAGACACGGCCCAGACUCCUACGGGAGGCAGCAGUAGGGAAUCUUCCACAAUGGACGAAAGUCUGAUGGAGCAACGCCGCGUGAGUGAUGAAGGUUUUCGGAUCGUAAAACUCUGUUGUUAAAGAAGAACAAGUGUUAGAGUAACUGUUAACACUUUGACGGUAUUUAACCAGAAAGCCACGGCUAACUACGUGCCAGCAGCCGCGGUAAUACGUAGGUGGCAAGCGUUGUCCGGAUUUAUUGGGCGUAAAGCGAGCGCAGGCGGUUUUGUAAGUCUGCUGUGAAAGCCCUCAGCUCAAACUGAGGAAGUGCAGUGGAAACUACAAAACUUGAGUACAGAAGAGGAAAGUGGAACUCCAUGUGUAGCGGUGAAAUGCGUAGAUAUAUGGAAGAACACCAGUGGCGAAGGCGGCUUUCUGGUCUGUUACUGACGCUGAGGCUCGAAAGCAUGGGUAGCGAACAGGAUUAGAUACCCUGGUAGUCCAUGCCGUAAACGAUGAAUACUAGGUGUUGGAGGGUUUCCGCCCUUCAGUGCCGCAGCUAACGCAUUAAGUAUUCCGCCUGGGGAGUACGACCGCAAGGUUGAAACUCAAAGGAAUUGACGGGGGCCCGCACAAGUGGUGGAGCAUGUGGUUUAAUUCGAUGCUACGCGAAGAACCUUACCAGCUCUUGACAUCUUCUGCCAACCCAAGAGAUUGGGCGUUCCCUUCGGGGACAGAAUGACAGGUGGUGCAUGGUUGUCGUCAGCUCGUGUCGUGAGAUGUUGGGUUAAGUCCCGCAACGAGCGCAACCCUUAUUAUUAGUUGCCAGCAUUUAGUUGGGCACUCUAGUGAGACUGCCGGUGAUAAACCGGAGGAAGGUGGGGACGACGUCAAAUCAUCAUGCCCCUUAUGAGCUGGGCUACACACGUGCUACAAUGGAUGGUACAACGAGUCGCGAAACCGCGAGGUCAAGCUAAUCUCUUAAAGCCAUUCUCAGUUCGGAUUGCAGGCUGCAACUCGCCUGCAUGAAGUUGGAAUCACUAGUAAUCGUGGAUCAGCAUGCCACGGUGAAUACGUUCCCGGGCCUUGUACACACCGCCCGUCACACCAUGAGAGUUUGUAACACCC